AUCUCGGGUUACCGAAUUCAGAUAAACUCCGAAUGCCAUUCAUUCAUAUCCGGGAGUCAGACUGUGAGUGAUAAGAUCCAUAGUCGAAAGGGAAACAGCCCAGACCACCAGCUAAGGUCCCAAAAUAUAUGUUAAGUGGAAAAGGAUGUGGGGUUGCACAGACAACUAGGAUGUUGGCUUAGAAGCAGCCAUCAUUUAAAGAGUGCGUAAUAGCUCACUAGUCGAGUGACCCUGCGCCGAAAAUGUACCGGGGCUAAACAUAUUACCGAAGCUGUGGAGUACACCUUUAGGUGUAUUGGUAGGAGAGCGUUCUAAGGGCGUCGAAGGCAGAUCGUGAGGACUGCUGGAGCGCUUAGAAGUGAGAAUGCCGGUAUGAGUAGCGAAA
rnacentral:rRNA from 1 species